UCUACGGAUGUGGGGAGAUUUUUUUGUGUAUGAGCUGGGAUCCGAUUUCUUAUUAAUUUUCAGCUGAUUUUUAAUAAUGGUGGAAUCGAGAAGACCGGUUGUUUUUCGAGCUGGAGUUCAGAUAAAGUUAAAACGUGCGUGACUUCUGAGUGUGAUCUUAAUUCAAAUCUAUACGUCUCCUGCUCCUGGCAUCUUCCCAUGAUUCUGGGGAGGAGAGAAUGAAAACACAUUAUUUUAAGGAGUAUUUGGUGCUUAUUAAAAUUACACAUACGCCCGCCUUCCAAAGAGUCUUGAUUUACUGCAGGUUGUUCAUGUGUCGCAUGCGGACAUUUUUAGCGAGCAGAUUUCUUAUCCCUGCGAGAACAGGGAAUGGCUUCCAGUGCUCCACGAUCCGGGAGCACAAACGUUGCAUCCAUUGUAAAAGGUAGGGAACCAUGAAAUCUAUAAAGCCGAUUUGGCAGGAGCAGCGGCUGUUGGUGCCAAGAUUUGGUUACUGACCCACAGUUUCCUGUUUGGAAAUCUAUUAAUUGAUUCGCAAAGAGCAUCUUUUUGGAAAACAAGGAUUCAGACAGGCUGGCACAGGCUGGAGCUCCGCCAAGACUGCUCGGGAAGGUUGCCAUGCUGGGAGCGAGCGAGCGAGAGAGCGAGAGAGCGAGCGAGGCGAGGGAAGAAAAAAAGGCAAGACUUGGCACGGCUCAGUCAAAUCAGCUUCUUUUGUCUGCUGUCUCGGCUUGAGCUUCGCGAAAGAAAACCGUCCUGGGGUACAGAAAAACUCACAACUUUUUUUUUUGGUUUUCAAACUUCCGUCGCUUUUUAAGUCUCGUUGGGCUCUUGGGAAGUGGUGGUGACAUUAAAUGACGUCCAGUUAGCAGUGAGCAGAGAAAUAAAAGCUUUUAAUGAAGCCUCCACAAUGUCAGUUUGUACAUAUGGGAAAUACGAUAUUUGGUGAUUUUUUUUUUCUUUUUUUUCCCCUAUGUCUGAUUAAACUGUAAGGGAGCCGAGUAACUUGGAAGAUUACAAAGGGAAUGUGUAAAUAAAAGGGAGAAUUUUCAUUUUUUUGCAGCAAAACAAAAACUUUUCAUCGACACAAACAUGCUUUAAAACCGAACCUGACCUCCUUCGGAAUACGUUUGGAACGGGAAUUCCAGCGUUUCUCUCGACAGAAACGAACUUUUAAUGGAACCUCCUUAAAGAUUUCAUCUGACCCAGCAGUGAAGUAAGAGUAGAGAGAAAGUUGUGACACCUCAAUAGAAAAGUGAGUAUGUUCUUAAAGCCACAACAUUUGUUUUUGCUGCUUGGUGCUGCCCUGGCUCCAUGUCCCAGCCUUUAGGGACAGACCUGAAGACCCAGCAGGACACGCCGAAGACACCCAGGCUAUGCCUGUAGGGCAGAAUCAGAGUGUGGUUAUUCUGCUCCUGCUUUCAAACAUUCCCUUCAGUGCAUCUUCCUAGAGAGCCUCCGAAAUCGCUGAAUUUUCUACUUUUAGAAGCAACAAGAGAUGGAAAAAUAUCCGGCUGCUGCCAAGUGAGGAAUGUUUGAAGAUGACACAGUUGAUGGCACUGGAUACGGAAACUUCAGUUUGUAGUUACAGGACCUGUUUGCUGCAAACAGUGAGAAAAUCUGCUCUUUUCUCAGGAAUUAAAAGAAAAUGGACUAAAAACAAUCAGUGACGGCUGAAGCGUGGACGCUUUGCGAUUUCAAUAAAAUGAAGGACCUAAAAGUCCAUUGUUUUCUCCAAAGGUGCCUGGAUUUUCAGGGAGAGAGGUACCUGCCUUCUGAUUUCCUGGGAGCAAAUAUGAUCACACUGCCUAUUAGGCCUGGAUGUGCUGGGAUUAUCCUCCUGCUGCUGUGACAAUCAGCAUUAUUAUUUCAGGGAGGAACUGUAAACCGUAGAUUUUUACGGAUCGGCUUCGCUUGGAGUGGGAAGGCAGGAAGGACUUCAAGGGAAGAGAAGAUCUUUUCUUAGAUAAGGCUUAUUGCUUUCAUUAAGAAGAUGGAAUCAUGGAGUGACGAAUCCUUUGGGUUAAAAGGGACCUUAAAGUCAUCCAGUGCCACUCCCUGCCAUGGGCAGGGACACCUUCCACUAUCCCAGGUUGCUCCAAGCCCUGUCCAGCCUGGCCUUGGACACUUCCAGGGAUCCAGGGACAGCCACAGCUUCUCUGGGCACCCUGUGCCAGGGCCUGCCCACCCUCAAAGGGAACAAUUCCUUCCCUGUUUAUAAUCUAAAUCCACCCUCUUUUGGUUUAAAAGCAUUCUUCAUUGUCCUAAUGACUUUAUUACCUACCUUUUAUAUGGCUUUUCUUUAUAUCUAUGGCUUUAUAUUUAUAUAAGUCCUUCCAUUAGUUGUUCACAGUUGUGAUGCUUUUCAAGGGCUUGAGAUGUUUUGUUCUGCUGCCAUUACACUUCUGGCUCUACUUUCCUGUUUUUGUGCACCCAGUGUAAAAAUUUCCCAUAAACAAGUUUUUGUAAUGUCUGCUGUAUUUAUUUUCUUUUUUUUUAAACUGUGAUUAAAUUGGUAAACUCAUA